GAGGCAAUGCCCUCUGCAGGCUCUGAGGUGUCUGAUAGGCGGGAAAAUAGACACCCUGUCCUAGGUGUGAUAGCGUUGUGGGAGUAGCAGCUUUGUUUAAGAAAGUAAAGAAGCACGUUCAGAAGGGGAUGAAAGUGUUCACAACGGAAGAGAGAUUCCAUAAGGCUCUGUGGCAUGAGUCAGGGCUGCAAGAAGACAGUGGUGAAGAGAAAGGUCAUUCAUUGUACAAAAGUGGUAAAGAAAGCAUGGGUGAUAUGUGUCAACUAGGAUGAAUUCUAGAAAAAGGCAGUGAUGAAGAAUUUGAAGAGAAAAGAUGCAUGGAUAGAAUUGAAUGGCCUGAAAAAUCUCAAUUCUGAGGUCAGUCAUUUUGUCCUGGGGUCUUCAGAGGUAACAGAGUGGGUUUUAAUCAAGUCAUCUGGGAAACAUCUCAAGUCAGUGGUGUCCCCAUUCCCAGUUGGAGGUGGAUGGUGAGGAGUUGAUGCUAUAGUCACUUCUUACUCAUGUCAGGGAUAAAAGGGUAUUGUUAUGUUGUAAAUAAUGUUACCUUAAAAUAUACUGUUCUUGGUCUCUUUAGAGUUGGAAUUAGAUUUUCAAAUCUACAAAAUCAAGGGAUUUCUGUUUAGCAUCACUCUUUUUAAAAUAGUAUUUCCUCCUAUUUCUGAUUUUCAAGUAAACAAUUUGUUUUCAGAACAAAGUUUUAGAGUCUAAUAUGUUUUUUUAAGAUGUUGCAUAAUUUUCCCCUUCUGUGUUGAGAAUAAGGUCUCCUUUACUAAACAGAAGAAUGAAAUUGUUUAAUAAUUUUUUUAAAAAAAAUGUUAAACACUAAUUCUGACCUACUCAAGGUAAAGUUCUAGUUUGUGGGAAGAAGUAGUGGUCAAAUGUCCUUUACUUUUAUAGCUAAAAUCUAAGUAUUUAUCCAUGUUUUAUCAACAAUAUAACCUUGAAUGUGAGGUCUUGCUUUUUAUUUGCUACUUUUCUAAUCUUUUUCAGCUAGAGAAAGUCAAGUCCAGAAAUUCCAUAUCUGUAAUUCUGGCUGUUCUCUUCCACCGUUCCAACCCAGAAACUCACAAGCACAAAUUUCCCCCUGACAUGUUUAUAUAUAUAAACAAUGUUAAGGUCCAGCACUUAGAGAUUUGAUGGUUUAAGACAUUCGAUUUAUACAUGAAGAUCUUUCCACACUUGCAAAGAAAUUCCCUCCAUUAUACAUAGUCAAAAUAUUUUUCUUUGACAUGAGCUAAUUUUCUAAAUAAUCUCAUCACAUUCCUGGCACCAUAAAUUCAUAGCUUAAACUAUGCUAAAUUGAAGACUAGGACUUUAAUAUUUUCAGUGGACCAAUUUACUUUUGUCUCCUUUAUUCCUUGCAUUAAAUUUCUCACUUCAGGUAUGUUAUAAAUAAAUAAAAAAGGUAAUAAUGAGAUUUUAAAAAUACUUUUUUAACCUCUCAAGAUUUUCAAGAAACACUCUUAAAGGCAAAGAUCACAUAUGAAUGAGUGAAGUCUGAUUCAAUACAUUCUGACUAUGUACUCUUUGAAGUGGUCCUAAAUAAGUAAUUGAAAUCUGUCUUUUCUCUGAACUUGAAGAUUUUAGAAAUACAGAGGAAAUUCUCAUGAUAGUCCUUAAAAUAACUUAUAGAAAUAACUUUCCAUAUCUAAUAAAUUCUAAAAUGAAAUUUUUAUAUUUGUGAUUUUAAAAGCUGACUAGGAUAGGAAACCUUUCUAAUUCUACUGACAAUGUGGAAACAAACUAUGAAUUAUUCAUAGAUUCUUCUCCAUUGUAUAUUAUUAUGUUUAAUUGAAAUAAUUUGGGGGUCUUUUAAGCUAAGAAAAUGUGCCAGAUUUCACAUCAUUUUAAUAUUUUUUAUAGAUGUUCACCAUGUAAGUAGUAUUAUUAAAUAUGAGGAAGUUAAAGUUUGUUGAAUAUUUCUCCUCAUUUCUUUUAUUAAUUCUAUGAAGUUAAAAUGAAAAUCACUCUUUGUUCCACAAAAAAGUUGCAGAUAAGCCAUCAUUGGUCUCUUUCCCUCUGCCUUGGUAAAAGUUUAAUGCACUCAAAACUUUGAAUUGAAGCAAGACAAUACCAUGACUCAGAAGGAGAUAAAAACAAAAUCCCUUAGCUUCAGAGUUAUUCUUAGAAAUUUAUUAAUAAUAUAUACAUAUAUACCUCUUUUUAAUUAGUGAUGCUAUCAGCUUUAAGUAUAACUCUAAUUAUGGAAACGACUGUAGUAUAAUACGGCAGACGACAGUAGCUUUUUAUAAGAACUGAUUGUAGGACCUGCAUGUAAAUGACUCUUAGAUGGCUCACCAGAGUAAAAAUUAUGCAGAAAGAUUACAUUCUCCCAAAUGAUACAGUGCCUUAAGAGAGUAUUCUUAAACCCUGCAAGUAUGUAGGUAUCUAGUGAUAAGAAAGUUAACAAGAACAAAAUAAUACUUUGAAGUUAAAUCAAUAUAGAUUUUAUUGAAUUGGGCUGUUUAAUAAUGUUUUGUUUUAAAUAACCCAGAGGGAACAUUUUCUCUGUAAAUUCUUAUUCUCUGGCUCUGGCCCUGCUAUCAGGUAGGCUCUGCUAUUGAGCUGGCAUAGUUUCACUAUUAAUUGCUGAGCAAAGAAUGUAGCACUUUAGCUAGUGCAGAAACAUACCAGUUCUUUUCUUUUUCUUUGCUUCCCUACCUCCCUCCCUCUUUCCUUCUCCUCUCUCUCCUUCCUUCCUUCCUUUUCUUUCUUUCUUUUGACAAUUCACUUAACUUUUUCCUAUCUCUUUCCAAAAGUGACCUCCCAACUUUGUUUUCUACUCUCUUCUCUCUGUUAAUUUCGGCCUCCCAUCUGUAAUUCUCUGGAACUGCUAACGUCUUUCAUUAACAAGCACAGCCCUCCUGAGCUAUCAAGCUAAGCCUAAUCUGUGAAAGAAGCAUAUUAAUAGGUUCCACAUAUGCCAUGUCUGGAAUUAUUCUUGCUCAUAUAAUUUGAGUAUUUGGUGGUUUGAAUAAAGUGCACAGUUUUUCCCCAUAGGGAAACAUUAUCUUUAUUAUCUUAGUUAGGAAACAAAUCAUCCCCUGCCCAGAAGUGAUAACCUAACUUCCUGAGUACUCAGCAAACUGAAUGGGACCAGUAUGUAGAGCCUGGCUCAGUUCUUAGCACUGGUUUUUAACUUAGAUGCUCCUGUCUCAGAUGAACCUGGACCCCAAGCAUACUCUACUUGACUGGAGCCCUUCCAUGUCACCCAGUGUUGUUAAUCUGUUUUACCAAGGUGUGAUAUCAUCUCUGCCUUGUGUUCCUUUGGUAACUGAUGAAUGCACCUUUGACCCCAAGGUCUUGAAUUUGAAUCAGAUUGGGAAUAUCAAGGUAAGCAAAUACACAGUAAACAUAGCUCAAUCAUAAAUUUUUGGGCUUUUGUCAGACUAUACAGUAGAUUUCACAGAAAUCUACUUCAUUCAGACUUUUCCUCUGAUACUGUUGAAUUGUGGAACAAUUCUUCAUGACAUUCCUGUAUGACUGUGUCAGCUUUUAUUCCUGGAUAGUUUUUUAAGAAUGUUUGCCUGUCGGUCAGUCUUAAUAGUCUUGAUAAAUAAGAUGGUGUAUCCCUGUGAUAAAUGCCAGAUUUGUUUCCUGGCCAGGAAAAUAAAAAUAAUAUUUCUCUUUUGAACAAAAGUUGACCAAGUUAGCUAGCAUCACCCUUUAUAAGAUCAGGGGUUUUCUAAGUAUGGAGUUCAUGAACUGUGAAAGAAACCAUUGUAUGUUCAUUGUCCACCUUGACCCAUCUAUAUUACCCCCAUGGAACUUGGGGGGCACAAAGAACAAGAUUUAAAUAUGCUUCUGCUUGCAGCACUUUGAGUAAUAGAGCCCUCAGCUAUUAUAGGAGUUUUGUCUUCCACAAAUGUGUAUGAAAUUGUGGCAGGCUUAAAACUAAGACCCUUCAGAGUUCUUGCUAUUGUUCUACCAUUUUCAUGAAGUGGAAAGAAUGCAGACUUUAGCCUAUACAAGAGUUUCAAUUCAGUCAGUUAUGUACUUUGUGAUCUCAGAAAUUAAUAGUCUCUCUCUCUGUUUCCCCUUUCAUAGCACAACUGAAAAUGAAGAAAAAAUAUUUUUUUUGUUGUAUAUUACAUUGUGGAUCCAAUUCACAGAUUUUUACUUUUCACCAACUAAUUUGAUUAAUCCAAGAUACUCAAGUCUCCAAAUUUCUUAUUGUUUCUAGAAGUAGAAUUUUCAUAUUGUAAAAAUUCUUGCUAUGGGAACAACUUCUGAAAUAAAAUAAAUUUAAUUAGGGUAUAUACUUUAAAAAAAAGAUCAGAAGAACUCCUUUAAAAUUUUUUAUUUUCAAAAUUUAAAUUAAAUUAAUUUUAAAUUGAUGCAUAGGAGCAUAAAAUGGUACAUAUUAAUGGGGUACCAUUUAACAUUUUGAUAUGUGCAUACACCAUAUAAUGUUUUAUUCAGGUUAAAAAUACCCAUCUUCUCAAAUAUUUAUCAUUUCUUUGUGGUGAAAACAUUCAAAAUCUCUUCUCUUCACUGCUUGAAAUGUAGAGUACAUUGUUGUUAUCUGUGGUUACUCUUCUGGGCGAUAGCACACCAGAACUUCUUAAUUCUAUUUAACUUAGUAUGUAAGCAGCAUACAGCUAUAUUAUUUUGGAAGGAAGAAAUUGUGAAAUAUAAUUGUUAUUCACCAGAGGGUGCUAUUGCCAUCUGAAAUGAACAGUACCACACACAAACUUCAGGUGUCAGGAGCUUAAACUUUUGCUUUGGGAUACAUAAUGUUAAAGAUAUUUUCUUACUAUAAAGAACAGGGGCAGGGGGAAUAAUAGUAUUUUCCCUUCAACCUUUUUUCCCUUCUAUUAUUUCACCAAAACUCCAUCAAAUGUCUAUCCCUCUAGUUAAGCUACAUGUCAAAUGAUAUUAAAAUUAUUUGAGAUCACUUGAGUCAUAAAUAUUGAUAGUGACUAUGGUUAAAGAACAUGUUGGUAUUUCACAAAAUGGUACAGGAAUAUGUAAGCAAAUUUGAUAUUCUGAAAUACAUUUUUAUUUUAAAUUUACUUCAUGUUUUUAUCAUGAAAAACACUAACAUUGAGUCUGGGGUUGUGGCUCAGUGGUAGAGUGCUCGUCUAGUAUUCAUGAGGCACUGGGUUCGAUCCUCAGCACAACAUAAAGUAAAAAAAAUAUAUUGUGUUCACCAAAAAAAAAAAAUAUUAAAAAACCCCACUACAUUGUUAUUAUACAAUACAAUAUUAGUUGAAUAUAUAUAUAUAUAUAUAUAUAUAUAUAUAUAUAUAUAUAUGAUAGGAGAAUAAUAGUAUGACUUUUGCUCAUAAGGUUCAUAGCUCCUAUUCAAAUAAGAAAAUAAACAUCAGUUGUUAUAGCUUUCAUUUCUUUUCCUAUUUAAUGCUUCAUGUGUAUUUCCCCCUGUGUAAAUAAAAACUUUGUGAAUAUUUUAAUGGUUGAGUAUUAUUUUAUUUUGUUGGGAUGAGUAAAUGUCUUAAUCCACAAUGGUUUGGACAUUUUAAUUGUUUCUAGAUUUUUACUUUUAUAAAAUUGAUGUGAAAUUUAACAUUUCUUAGUGAGCAUAGCUUUGCUCACUUCUCAGUCUAGUCCUAGCUUAAUAAAAAUUUUCUAACUAAAAAUAUUUCUUUAAUCAUAUGAAAUAUAGUCAUAUAAACUUGAUAUAUAUCAGGAUGAUGUAAUUUUGCCUCCCCCUUUUAUUUCAAAUUAUUUCCUACCAGUGUUUAUAUUUCCUGAAAAAUAGGCUCUUAUGUCUCACUUGUACAAGUUUGCAUUCCCUGAGAUGAUACUAAACCAACAGGAAAUAUUAGCAUUUACAAUAAUUUUGCAUAGUUUACCUUCCCCUUCUUGCAUAUAAUUAUCCUUUGUAUUGGGGGGUAAAAUAUAUUUCAAUGCACGAUCCAUAUAGUCCCCUUCCAUAUAUAAUUCCUCUUCCUCUAACUUUGUCUCCAGGCAGAAGAAAAACUUUUAUAAACCUCCUACCAAGAGCAAUAGUCACAGUGGACUUUCUGUUCAAGACAUUUGUUUUGUCUUUCCUCUUCCAUGGAGAACAGUAAAGAAGGGCAUCUAGGCCCAGUAAAUGCAAUGAAUCACAAUUGUCUGGCUGAUGCAGACUGUGCAUGAAAGACAAAUGGACCCUGGUGGUAUUCAAGGCGACUCUUAAAAAGAGCCAGGCAUUCACAACCCUGAAAACCUCAUAAUUAAAGUUGAAUGUGUAAACUGAAAUGAGCAUGUGAGAAGAACAACAGAUUAUUUUUCAGAUCUCUGUUCUCAGUGUAUAGGUGGGUGGUGUUCAGUUAAAUAGGUAGCACUGCCAACAUCUCAACAACUCCCCCAAAGUUCUCUUUUUGUGUUGGCUUUUGCCUUCUAUCAGACUUAAUGUUGUUGCUGGGAAAAAAAUAAAUCAUAGUUCAUUUAGUGUGUACUGGCCAUUCCUUAUUAAACUGGCAAUGGAGAAUCAGGCUAGAAAGUUUAUUAAAUUUGAAGAUUGAUGAUUAUUGAGAGCCAGCAUCUCAGUUCUGGAAAUACUUUGUAUGUUUCAGUUUCAAUGACUAACACAGAGAAGUCCUCCUCAGGCCCCUGCUGCUAGAUGAUACAGGCAUAAAAAGGAGACUUCCAAUUAAAAUGAACAACACAUUUUGCUUUGUGUUCUGGGAAUGUUUCAAAAAGUUUGGGAAAGAAUAGGCUUUUCUCCUGAAUCAAAACCAAUAAUUUUGUUUAGAUUUGGAACAGUUCUCCAAAUUUUGUUUUAAUACUUUGUGGGCACAUUAGAAAUAUUAGUAACAUUUUUCAGAGGGAGCUUUCCCAAUAGCUAAAGCAGGAGCUAGGGUUGAGAACUGAGAACCAGCACUAAGGUAACUUCAGGGGCUUUCUAUUAAAGAUCAAAGAGGUCUGUCUACCUGGCCAUGACUGGCAUUGCCAUCUAUUAAAUCAGGACAUCAGGACCUUAUCUCCAACAUUUGACUGAAGACUUCCUAAAAGCUUCCCUGUUUAUAAUAGAGUAAGAAUUAUAAGAGUUCUACAUCCAUGGAGUACCUAUUCUGUGUCAGGUAAUGUACUAACCUCUUUAUUUCUCACAAGAUAACUAAUCAUAUUAUUUCUAUUAUUUUAUUGGUGAAGAAACAAAAAUUAGACUUAAAAAUACAUUGCAAGUUACACAUUAAGAGACAGAGUGAGGAUUAAAUGUUAAGUAUUUCCUCCCAAACACUAUGAUUUGAGGCCCUGUUAUAGUAUUUGAAAUUCCUAAACUUCAUGUUAGCUACAGAUUAAAAAGUUUGCUCUCAUAUGAAUUUUCAAAAUCUCUGAAACAUUUGUCUGAACAUGAACUUCUCUUAAUUCUACAUUAUAAUACCCCAAAUUUGAGCAGUGGAAACAGCAGGAGUCCAGUGUAAUUGUUAAACAUAAUCAAACGUAGCUUUGUGAAUCUCAAGCUCUAGAUUUUACAGAUUAAAGGUGUUGAUAACUUUUGUUUUAUAAUGGUGUAUAAUUACAUUUUUAAAAAAACUUACGUGACCAAAACAUUGUUCCUAGGAUUCAUAGCAUCUAAAAAUGCCUGCUUUUAAUCAAAUUAGUAAUGUAGUAUCUAUUGAUGAGACAUUAACGUUUUUUUCUGUGACAUAAUUAGUGUUUUCAUAUCACAGAAAGGACAUACACGUAGUAUCUUUUGAGGACAGAAUGGGAAGAAGAGUUUGAUUGUUGGCACUGAUGCUAGUUUAACCAAGUCAUUCUAAGAAUCCAGUCUGUAUAUUUGAAAAUAUGUACAUAAAAGUUUAUAGUGUGAAAGUGUGAUGUGGAAGCAGAUUUAAACUUCUCAUUUUUGAGUGUGUGUUUGAUGUACCUAAUUAAUAAAGUACAAUACAUGGGAGGCUUAAUUCCAAGGGGUUUUUGAGGGUGGUGAUGAAUUUUGUUUUAGACAGCAAGCAAAAAUCUAGAGAGUGAAUUUUCUAAAACAAACAUUAACCUUUCAUUGAAUUGCACUAUUUCUUGUUUUUUGUGCCAUUUUAAACUUUAGAUAUGCCCCUCUCAAGUAUAGCUGUUAUGGUUGGAUCUUAACUGUCCCUCAAAUGCCAGGCACUAAUGUCUGGGUUGCCAGCCUGUGGUGCUAGAGACAGGUGAUGGAACCUUCAGGAGGUGGAGCCUAAUGAAAGGAAUUUAAGUCUUUGGGGGGAUGUCCUUGGAGAGGAUAUUUCUCUUUCUGCAUCCUGGCUGCCAUGAGGGGAGCAGCUUUGCUUCACCAUGUGCUUCCCCACCAUGAUUUUCUGUCUCACCUCAGGCCCCAAAGCAAGGAAACCAGCUAACUAAGGACAGAAACCUCUAAAACUGUGAGCCAAAAUCAAUCUUUCCACCUCUUCAGCUAAUUUCUUUAGGUAUUUUGUCGUAAUGACAGAAAAUCUAACACAAUCCACAUUUUAUUGUUGAGGGUUGCUAACAAGGUAGUAGACAUUUAAACAAGAUAAAAUAAGUUCCUAGGAUGUAUAAAAGAAGAAAAUAUUUCAUUACUCUCCUUUUCCCACCUUUAUCUUGUUUUAAUUGUUUAGAGGUUACCACGUACACUCUCUUAUAAGGAACCAAUGAUGACAAAUGUUCUCCUUCUUACUUUAAUUGAAAUCAACAUGAGGAGCAUUAUCUUUGUACCAGACAUAGAAUUAGGAGCAGUGUCCCUAUUGAAACCUGUCUCCAAAUCCUCUAUUACUAAGUUAGCAAUGUUCCUCUGUAGUUUCAGCAUGAAACUUCCCAUAAAUUACCCUUUUCUUUGUGAAUUGUCCAAUGCUGGGGCUCCAUACUACUGUGAGCCCCUCAUACUAUACAUUCUAUGUAACCCUGUGUGGGCCCAUGAAAUCUCAUGCUGUUGCAGUUCUUCCUGCUCUGAGCUUCCCUUCUAGUGUCUAAUAGUAUGCAUUGAACUUGUAUUCUAUAAAACCUCAUAUUUUGCUUUUGUCUUUAGCCAACAGUACAGACUAUUUGGGCUCCCUUAUUUAAUUACUCAAAGUCUAAAAUGGAAAUCUCCUAAGGCUUUGUUAUUUUACUAUCCAUUUACAAAGACCUGCAUUUAAAUAUGUUAAGAUCAAAAAGUUUUAUCCUUCAAUAAAGUAAAUGCUUUUUGUUAGUCUUUCUUUCUUUCUUUUUUCCAUUAAAACAAUUGUUCCUUAUACAUGAUAGUAGAAUCAAUUUUGACAUAUUUGUACAAACAUGGAAUAUAUUAUUUAUUUAGUUAUUUUUGAUGAAAGCUAGAUAGAGCAGUAUUCUAAGCUAUAUAUUUAUUUGAAACUAUAAAAUCUCGUUGCUUUUAUAACACUUACUUUAUAACACCCAUCUUCAAUAUGAGGUAAAGUGAGGACUAUAUAUCUCAACUAAACUUUGGGAAAAUUUUGCUCAAGAACCUAGAAAUUACCUUGAUUUAUAUUCUUCCUAAUCAUCUUUUUUUCUUAAUAGUACAGUUGCUUCUAUUUUACUUUCUCUUGUUUUCAUUUUCUAAAAAUACAAAAGUCACUAUGAAAGGAUAUUUUGUUAGUUUUAUAUUAUUAUAUUGAAAUACCUAAGGCAAGUAAAUUAUAAAGGGACAAAUUUUAUUUUGGAUUCCUGUUCGGUAGAUUCUAGUUCAAAAUUUAAGUGGCGCCAUCAAUUUGGAUCUCUCACAAGGACAACACAUUAUAAUGGAAACCUGUGGUAAGACAAAAUGCUUACCUCGUGAGUCAGGAACCAAAAAAGAGGGAUAAGAAGAGAUCAGGGUCCCACAGUCUCCUUCAAGGGCAUGCUAAUAAUGACCCAGAGACCUCUUCAAGGCUCCGGGACUUAAAUGUUACAUCACUUGUCAAUAGCACCAUGCUGGGGAUCAAGCCUUUAGCAUAUGAACAUUCGGGGAACUUCAACAUUCAAAUUGCAGCAGAUAGCUGUUUGGUGAAAAUUUGUUCAAAUGAUUAAUUAACCAAUUUUGUGUAGCAUUGAUUGAUUAUACCUUAAUGAUACAGAGGAAAGGACCUCUUCUUUUACUGGAUUUCUGGUUGUAAGGCAGCUGCUUAAAGACAGCAGAUUAUUUUAUAGCUACAGAGAUAUAUAAAGCUUUUUUUUUUUUUUCUUGUUGUGCUGAGUAUUGAACCCUUGUGCAUGCAAGGUAAGCACUCUACCAACUGAGCUUUAUCCCAGCCCUGAGAUAUAAAACUUAAUAACAACACUUAAAAGGCACAUUAACCAUUGAUUUGCUUUAAAAAAAUAAAAUUUUCUGUCCUAUGCAUUUUACAUGAAUGGAAUUUAAACAGUAUAUGAUUUUUAUCUGUCUAGCUUUUACCACUUAGCAUGUUUUCAAGGUUUAUCACUGUUGUAGCAUGGUAGAUGGUCGAAUAGCAUUUCAUCAUAUGAGCAUACUACAUUUAAUUUAUCAAUUCUCCAUUUGAUGGAUCCAAAAAAAAUAAUAGAAUUAAUGAAUGUGUUUAGCACUGUUAUAAAUGAAUACGUGAAAAUCGUUUGUAUUUCUAUUUUAUAGUAAUGAAAAUCUUAAGCUGAAAUUUAGUACAAAAUACAACUCAGAAUAGUAUUAAAAAUAAUAAAAUACUUAAGAAAAAUUUAACAGAAGUUUAACUUUUGUACACUGAAAGCUACAGAACAUUGAAAAAUGUAAAGACAUUCCAAAUGUGUGCAUUGGGAGCAAGUGUGAUUAAGAUGGCAAUGCUUGAUGAAUACAUCUAUAGAUUCAACAUAAUUUAAUACUGUCUAAUUUGCCUUUUACCAGAAACUGACAAGCUGAGGCAAAAAUUCAUAUUGAAAUGUAAAGAACCCAGAAUGGCUGAUACAAUCUCAAAAAAUUGGAGGAUUCAUACUCUAUCAAAACAGGAACAAAAACAAACACAGAACAACAGCAACCAAGAGUAAGUGGUGCUGACAUAAAGAAAGGCAUAUAGAUCAAUGGAAUAUAAUUGAGAAUCACAAUUAAACACACUAUGAACAAUAGUGUUUUUUUUCAACCAAGGGUACCACAAAAAUUUAAUCAGAAUAGUCUCCAGUGAUGAAUUAUCCAUACACAAAAGAAUAAGGCUAGACCUCCCACGUAUAAAAUAUUAACUCAAAAUGUAUCAUAGACCUAUAAUAAUGAAAACCCUAAACUGAAAUUUGGUAAAAAAUGCAAUUUAGAAUAGUAUUAAGAAUAAUAAAAUACUUCACUUAUGUUAAAUUUUUAGAACUAACCCAAUAAACUGUUCAGAAAAAAAAAUGCGAGUUAAUGUUCAUGAUCUUAUAUUAGGCAAUGGUGUCUUAUGAAGGACAAAAGCAUAGAAGAUGAAACAAAUAAAUAAUUAGACUUCAAUGAAAUUUAAAACUUUUAGCCUCCUAGGACACUAUUAAGAAAGCAAAAUGGCAAUCCACAGAAUAUGAGAAAAUACUUGCAAAUCAUAUAUGUCAUGGGAGACUUGAAUCCAGAAUAAAUUACUCUUAAUAACUCAACCAUAAAAAGAUAAAUAACUAAAAAAUGGACAAAGUUUUUUAAUAAAUAUUCUCCAAAGUAGGUAUACAAAUGGCCAUUAGAUGCAGAAGAGAUAUUCAAUAUCAUUAAUCAUGAGGGAAAUGCAAAUACAAAUCACAGUGCAAUGUCCCUGUAAACACACUAGGAUGGCUACAAUAAAAAAUGCAUGUGGUCCCCUAAAGUUCAGGAAAUAAUGCUGAGAGUUAUUAAAUGGGAUGGCAUUGAAUUAUAAAGAUUCUGCCAAGCAAAGAAAACAAUUGAGAAUGUAAAGAGAGAACCUAUGGAAUGGGAGAAAAUCUUUGCUAGCUAUUCUUUUGAUAUAAGAUAAAUACCUAGACUAUAUAAAUAAUUUAAAAAAUAACACAAAAAAAUCAAACAAACAAAUAACCUAAUUAAUAGUGGGCAUAUGACUUAAACAGACACUUUUCAAAAGAAGAAAUGAAAAUGGAUAACAAAUACAUGAAGAAAAUGUUCAACAUCAUUAGCAAUCAGGAAAAUGCAAAUUGAAAAAAACCAUGACCCCAAAUAAACUUUUCCUCUUCUAAAAUUAUUCUUGUCGAGUCUUUUAGAUACAGCAGUGAAAAAGCUAAGACUAUAGUGUAAACGGAUACCAUUGUAUUUUAUUUAUUAAUCUCGUGUCUUGCAACCUUCAACAUUUUUUGGUUUACUUUUUAUUUACUAGUUCUAGCAGAUUUUGUGUUGGGGUGUAUGUGUAUUUUAGAUUUUUCUGCAUAAAAUAACAUGUCAUUUUUGUGUAAGAUCAAUUUAUACUUCUUUUUUCAAUAUGGUUGUCUUAAUCAUUAUCAACCUCAUCAUCAUCCUUUGAGUUCGAAACCUCCUGUACAAUGUUGAAUGAGGCAUCAAGAUCAGACAUUCUUGUGUUUUGCCCUCUGUUAGGAGAAAAGCAUUUAGUCUUUAAUCAAUAUGAUUUAGCCAUCAGGUUUUGUAUAUAUCCUUUAUCAGGCAAACAAUUCCCUUCUCUCCCCAAUUUGUUAAUAGAUAUUUGUGAUUGUGUGUUUUGUUUUUGAAAUACUUUUUUUUGCAUCUAUUGUAAUCAGGUGAGUUUUGUCUUUUAUUCAACUGACAGAUUGUAUUACAUCAACUGAAUCUGAAUGCUAAAGCCUCCUUGCACUACUGAGAUAAGUCCUUAUUUAUGAUGGACCUUUCGUAAAUACUGCUGUAUUUGCUUUGCCAAUAUUUUAUUAAGGAUUUUGUGUCUUUGUAUGAGCAAUAUUGGUCCAUAGUUUAUUUUUUCUUGUGAUGUCUUCAUUUGACUUUGGUUUCAAAGUAAUUGGUAUCAAGGUAACAGUUACAAUUGGUACAUUCUCCCACUGCCUAUAUUAUCUGAGGGAAGGAUUAGGUAUUUUCUACUUUUCAAAUAUGUAUAAAAUUCACAGUAAGGCAGUCAGAGGGUAGUCCAGUGGCUGAUGUAAGUCACUACUUCCACUGUUAAGUUGACUCUUCACACAUUUCAUAGUUUAAUUGUAUGAAAAGACAACAAGCCUAAACGAAGGCAGAUAAUUUAGUAUUUAAACAACAAAAACAAGAUAAGAAUAUGUCAACUCCCUAUGCCCUUAGUCCCACUGGAUGACAUCAGACCAGAGUGCAGCUGACAGACAACAAGUAGUGUUUUCAUGGAGAAAGAGACUUUAAACUAUAUCGAGUUUUCAUAGAUUUCCAGAUAAAUAUAAAGAUGUAUCUUAAGGUGUGCCAGUUGGAAAGUUCUUCCCUCAACUGAAAUUAGGGAGAUGGCCGUCUCCCACAAGAUAGGACUGAGAAAUUGCCUUGCCUCAACCUCAUCAGGCCUAUCUCCCCUUGCUCCAGGAGGAAUUACAGGCCAUUGCACCAAAAUUGGGGUUAGACUGAAGUCAGACCCUGCCUUCAAGACCUGCCAGAAGGGCCUGUGGAUAUCAAGGUCAACGGGGUCCUUGGGAGAGCCAUUUUCAUAAAAUCCACCUGGGCUUGGGCUUUUCUUUGUGGGAAGAUUUUUAAUUACCAGUUUAAUUUCUUUUCUUUUAGAUCUAUUCAGAGUUUUUUUUGUUUCCUCUUCUAUUGGAAAGAACAUUUCUUCAAUCAGUUUUGAAUAUUUCUUUCUAGUAAUUUGCCCAUUUCUUCUAAGUUAUCUAAUCUGUUGGCAAAGCACUAGAGUAUUAAUGCUUUCUGUCAUUCCUAAAAUUGGCAAUUUUCAUCUCUUUUUUCCUAGUUCAGUCUAACAACAAGUUUGUCAAUUUUAUUAAACUUGUAAAAGAGCUAAAUUUUAAUUUCAUGGAGCAUUUCCAGUUUUUAAAUUUUCUGCUUCAGUGAUUUUUCUAAUUUAUAUUACCUCUACACUGAUUUACAUUUUUUUUUCCUGUUUUUAUCUGAUCUUCUUAUGUGGGAGCUUCAAUUACUGAUUUCAAAUCCUUUUUUUUUAGCUGCAUUCUACAAGUUUUGAUAAAUUGUACAUUCAUUUUUAUUGAGUCUUCAUUAUUUCAUCUAAUGAAUCAGAUCUGAUGUUCACAUUUAUUUUGAAGAGCAAACUAACACAUUUAAAGAUACAUUUGUAAAGUUUGUUGAGUUAAAGGUUUGUGAGUGACAUGGCUUUUGAUAUUCCCAGCUUGAUUUUUAUACUUUAUCAUGUUGUUUUUAUCCAAAGCUAACAGUGUGGAAUGUUUCAAUGUGCCAAGAGAAGAAUACAAAGUUUCUGCAAGAUUUGGAAAAGAUGAUUAAUACUUGAUGAGAAAUUUAUCUCACUCCAAACAAUUGGAUUGAAUUUGCUGGUACUUCGGUCGUGAAGCUGUCCUGAAAAGACAUUUAUUUCUGUUUGCUCUGACUGUCCCUAUGGUUAAAGAGCAAAAAGUGUUCCUAAGGCAGAAAAUAGCCCUGUAAGAAGCUGCCAUAAUUGAUACUAAAUUCCAAAGGCCCUGAUUUUAUUACUGGAGUGUUAUUAUAUGGGGCACUAAUGUACACACAUUAAAAGGAGAAUGGUUAUGUAUUUUAUUUCAAUAUUCUUUAGUUCUUGUUUAACUAAACCUAGAAUUAGUGCUGUAAUAUUUUUUAUAAUAAAUGUAGGAUUGAGAGUGUUUUGGAUCUUGCAUGAUGUACCUUUGAUGGUGUUGAAUGAUGAUAUUAUUCUUACUUCAUUAUAGAAAAGCCUAGAUCAUAAUCCUGGCUUCAACUAGUGGGGCCACUUUGGAGAAACUAAGCAGAGACUGGAAAGAGAUAAAUCAGAACAGAAGGUAGAUUCUGAAUGCUUAAAAAUUUUAAAUUAAGUUAUGAAAAUAAGAGGAAAUAUUUAAUUUAUUAGAAUUUGAUUUUCUCUUGAUAAUGGAGGAAAAUCAUGGCAGCUAGCCAUAAUUGUCUUAUAUUUGUGAUGUUGUCUAGGGGAUAAAUUGAUCUCUUUGCUUACCUUCCCCAAUGCCUAUUUUUUACACUUCUGUAUCAAGACUUUUCAUGUUGAAACUCAUAUUUUAGUUAUUUCUAUAUAUAGUGUUUUUCUCCCAAUGAUUUUAAGUCCUUAAGGGUAAAGACUUAUGUUACAUUCAUUUUUGAUCUCUUAUAGUUUAUACAAAUAUAUAUAUAAAAGUUUUAGUUCAUACCCAUUAAAUUGAAAUCAAACGAACAAAGAUUUGAAGCUCAAGUGAUGAAUUUCAGAUAUAAAAACAGAGCAUAUGAAAAUGACAAUGGAAUUUUCAAGCAAUGUAGAGUCCUAAAAUAUUGUAUACAGAAAUAAAUGGACAAAUAGUGCCUUAAAAUGGUAGUCCUAGAGAUGCAAGCUUUAAAAUGAUAAAGUUCUUCUAAAUGUAAAUAUUAUUUCAGUUAAAACUAUGUAGACUAUCAUCACAGCAUAUGAUGUACUUUGAACAUGUGAACAAAAUCUCUUGGUUUCUAAAAAUGAGUAAUGUUCUAGAAAUUGGAGUAGUCUAAAAGAUAGGAAGAACUACUGGUAUUUUUGUAUGCAAUUUCUAGUUCCUAAUUAUGAGAGUAUAUGUUUACAGUAACUUUAAGUUGCCUCAUCUUUAAAAUAAAAAUUUAAAAAAUUUAGGUCAGGGACUCUUCUAGUUUAAUUUUCUGUUUGUUAAAUUAAAUAUUUUAAUUCACAAUACAUUUCUACAAUGACAUGAUGAAACUCAUGAGACCGACACAUACAUUGGGUUAAAAUAUAAAUGUAUUGUCUAGCAGCAUUCAUAUGAAGUGUUAUUUAGGUUUUAAAUUGUGAGAUUUUUCUGAAAUUGCUAACUAAAGGACUCAAAGAUAAUCUUGACUUUAGAAAACAAUAAAUAGCAGUCAUCCAUAAACUUAGAGGGAAAUAGACAUAAUUUUUGUAAUUGUUUUUCCUUCUCAGUAAUAAAAUCCAUAAUUGUUCCUAGUAUGUUUAUGUUAUUCUAUGAGAAGUAAUUAAAUCUUCUGUGAAGAGUACUUUGAAGAUAAAAAAUAGAACUAAAAACGUAAGAUUUUGUUGUUAUUCUUUGACUUUCAUCAGUACUUUUGCCAAGUGCUUUUCUGAACUAAAAAAAAAAAAAAAAUAGCCCUUGAGCAACCCCCAGGAUUACCAAAAGACCAGGUAAAAGAACCUAUUUAGUACUUAGCUCUUUCACAGCAACUGUGGGUGAGUUAUUUCUUGAAUUCAUUCUGUGGGUAUUUUGAAUGCUUUGACUUUAUUUGAACAUUUUUUUUUUAUUGGAUAGGAGUCUAAAUUAGAUUGGAGCUGAUAAAUAAUUGAGCUGCCUCCAGUUAGAAGCCUUAGGUAGGUACUAUUUGAAUGUGGGGUUUUUUGAUUCUAAAGAGGGUGGGCCUUCAUUUUCUGGGACUCUGGAUGAUUUAGGCAAGAAUUACCAGCCUAGAAUCUAUGUAUGUUUGGAAAAAUGCAUUAGCCAUACUAAGGACAACUUUUAAUUAUAGCAGACACUGAGGGGAAGUUUUAAUCUAGAUAAAGUUGCUCACUUGAAAGUCAUACUAGAAAAGAAAAAAAUCCAAAAACAUCAAAAGAAAAAAAUGGAAUGCAGUCUUUAUCUGAUACACAGAGUCAUCUCUAAAAUUAAAUGAAUCCAAAAUUGCCUCUAAAAGAUUCCUUUUAGAAGGCAAAUGAAGUAUACCCCAAUUUUUUUCCACAAGUAUUAGUCACAAGCUUUGACCAUCUGGGCCAGUAAUCUUGUUCAUUGCCUAGAAAAGUAAUUCAGCUCCAGAUAUUCUUUAAUAAAUUAGUAAGCUUUGUAUUAUUAUAUUUGGCAUGUAGAUAAAAAUUUUAAAUAAAAUAUAUAAGAUAUGUUUUUAUUCAUAUGUGUUUAUAUGUUAUCUGUAUGUAAACUUUUCUACUCUUUGUAGUAUUGCCAAAAUUAAGUUGUCAUAGAACUUUAUUUAAUUAACUUAAAUAUAAUAUUAAGUGCUUACAUUAAUUAAGUAUUCCUCAAAUUCUUACAAGGAUAUAAACUAACCCAAAUUAUUUUCCAAGUUAAUGUAUACUGGGAUAAUCUUUGGGAAAAAGAAAAACAUUUAAAAUGUGUCAUUUUGAUUAAAAUAGACAUGUGUUUUGAGUUGUCAGAAAUAAAUAUAGAAUGAAACUUUUCCUACUUAGGUUUAUUAGUAAAAUAAGCUGAUGUUAUCUGUAUAAUACAAAAUUUUUUCAGCAAGGAAAAUAACUCAAGAUGAUUGCUAUCUAUGCAUUGUCUCAUUUUCAUAAGCAAUAGUAGCAAAAUUGCUAGUGUCUUAAAAUAUGUAAGUAAGAUUAAAUUCCCAUGUGAGAGAUGUUUUUCCUAUACCAAAAUGUUUUACUAUUCUUAUCAUAAUGCACAGAAAGUUGAGGCUGAGGGAAAUCUCUAUUAACUAUAUAAUUCUCAGGCCUAACUUAAAAAAAAGAAAAAGACAAAGCUAAGAGGAUUGAAAUAAAAUUUUUCCUCCUUUACAGUUUUUUAUUAAAGAGAGACUGAAGAUAUUUGGGACAGUUAGUAAACAUGUUCUGUGAUGCAAUGCAAAUUGUGCUAUAAGAAAACAUAUACUUGUAGAAAUUAUGAUUCAUAGACUUCCAGUCCACACAUUGUUGGUGUGACUGACAGUUCACAAAUUGCCAGUGUUCACUGAAAAUUAAGGUAAAUAAGGGUUAAGAAUUCUAACUAAUAUAUAUGUAGUUGAAAUCAAUGGAAGUAAUGAAGGAAACAAUACCAUAUGCAAGAAUACAAAGAAGGGAAGAUGUACUUUUUAGGAAAUCUAAAAGGCAUGAGAAUGUUAAGGGAAACAGAGGAUCAUUUUUAUUUUAAAGUAGAAAGACUAGUGGAUUCAAAGUGAAAAAGAGGAAAGGUAAGGGACAAAAACUGAAUGGAUAUAAGAAAGUUUUGCAAGAUUUAUUGAAGAGUAAUCUUUGAAAAUGAAUUGUGUGUCUGAUCAAGCUGGUUAAGAUAAAAAGUAAAUUAUAAGUUUUUUCUAAAAAAUGAACAUUAAUAUCAAAAUUACAUUGAUAAGAAACUAGAAGCUGAUUCUCUCUGUUAAGUAAAUUUUUUUUUUUCCUGAAGUGUUUGUCUGCUCUAAAUAGGGAAUUAAGAAAGGAUUUUCUCUGUAUUUCAGAUAAUUGAACUAGAAAACAAAGGCUCUGUUUCUAUCAAGAUAUUUCUUUGUUUUCUCUAUAAGAUUGAGCCAGGGUCAAAUUACCUAUGAUAAUCUACUUAAUAAACAGUGAUACACACCUGAAUUGUAGAAAAAAAAAACAAAACAUAUUUAAAGAUAUUCCUUUGUUUCACUUUGUCUUUAUUAGGUCAUUUAUUACUUAAGAAAACUGAAUUUUAUUAAAUGAGCUAAGGGGUUUUCCCCCUUAUAACUAUGUAACUUUCUCUAUUUGCCUUUGAAGUAUUUUUUAAUCAUUUGAUUAAUCAAAUGACUAUUGUGAUUCUGUUUUAAUCAAGAGUUUUAAACUCUUAGAAAUUUUUGAUAAUUUCUCCAGAACAAAUUUUAAAGAAAUUCUGAUGAGAUAUUUUUGGAGUAUUGGUUUCUUAUGGCUCCCUAAAAUAUCACAAAAAACUUUAUUACUUCUCCUUAUAAAAUUAGAACUACUAAAUUAAUUAAGAUGACUUGAUAUGUAAAAUUGCAUGAGAAGCAUUGUAAAAUAAUAAAUUAUACUUAGCUUUCUUUAAGUUAUGUUGAGUAUGUUGAGCAUGUAACCAGGGUGUGUUUCAAAAAUGUAUGAAAUCUGAGAGUCCAGGUGUAGUUAUAGUCAGCAUACUAAUUAUUAUCUUAAAAUAUUGUGUUUUGAAGAAAUAACAAAAUUUCCUGUCAAUUGCAUUCUAAUAAACUCUCAUAAGAUCUUUAGCCAUGGUUAUGUAAAACCUUGUCAUCAGCUGAUAGUUAAUUAUUUAAUUUUGGUACACUUCUAAAAGCUAUGCAUGGAAGUAUAAACCUAAGAUCUUUAGUACUGAGAAGAUUUAUGGAGAGAACACUGGCAAGUACAAGUUUUUGAUAACUUUAAUAUCAUACCAUUGAACUGGGUAAGAAUUCUCAGAAAUCCAUUGAAGAAAGUGGUUGGCUCAUUUAAAACAUCUAACCUAACAUUAAGUAGUGUAGGAAUUAAUUUAGUACUAGGAAAUGCUUUAGGAGACUUUUAAGUGAGCCAGUAAUGAAAUUGUUAAAAUAUACAAAUUGAAUGAACUCUAUAAGAUUGAGCCAGGGUCAAAUCACCUAUGAUAACCGACUUAAUAAACAGUGAUACACACCUGAAUUGUAGAAACAAAACAAAACAUAUUUAACAGAAUAAAAAUUCAGUGUUAAGGGUGGAUCUAUGGGUAGUCUAGAUGACCAACUGGCCUUCUUGAGUUCUUUUUAAAUUUUUUUUUUAAUUUGUUCUUUACAGAUAUACAUGACAGUAUUAUUAUACAUACAUGGAGUAUAACUUGUUCUAAUUAAGAUUCCAUUCUUAAGGUUACACAUGAAGUAGAGUUCCACUGGUGGGGUGUUCAUAUAUAAAUUUGGAAAGGAAUGUUCCAUUCAUUCUACUGUCUUUCCUAUUCCUAUCUCCCUCCCAUUCAUUCAUUCCCCUUUGUCUAAACUACUGAAUUUUUAUUCUUUCCCUCCCUACCUCUUGUUGUCUGUUAGCAUCCACAUAUCAAAGAGAACAUUCAACUUUUGCUUUUUGGGAAUUGACCUAUUUCACUUAGCAUGAUGUAGGGAUUCUGACCAUGGAAAUGUACAGAGAAAUGUUCCCCUAACAAACUCCUAGGAGUUAACAGGCAUCCUGUUUCCCACCCUUAGAAUGCCAUGCAAUCUCUCUUAGGAUCUAGUAAUGUAGCUAAUAUAUGUGCAAUGUCUAGCUGGUAUGCAAUGCCCUGAGAAGCCUCUGUGUUAGAGCUUCAUCAAGCCUUGACCUUGAUUGCAAGCACAUAGCUCCUGGGAAUAAAGAAACUUGGUUGAUAGAUAACUACAAUGUUUCAUCAAGCUCUGUUGCUUCUGGAUCUACCUGCCUAACAACUACAGACAAUGGACUUUCUUGAGAACUGCACAAAGCUCCUAACAUUGCAUAUUGUAACUUUGAAAUAUAACUGCAGUAUAAGCAACCUUACUGUUACUCUAAACAGUAAUGUAGUUAAGGUACUAAUGACCUAUUGUAACCUAUUGGUAUAAAUAAAUGUGGCUGCUUGGACAAAAAGUCACUCUGCCACCUUCCCUGCCUCUGCACCUUGUCUCUGUCUCCUCUUUAUUAUUAUUCCCUACAACUGGUGACCAAUGUUGGGGCACAAGACAAGAUAUCUCCCCCCAAAUCCUCUCAAUCCACAGAGAGUUUGGGACAGCAGAAUCUGCCUUAAUAGAG
rnacentral:lncRNA from 1 species